rnacentral:rRNA from 1 species
UGGAAGUAUAAAAUCGUAACAAGGUCUCCGUUAGUAAACUAGCGGAGGGAUUAUUAU